UUUCCUAUUCAGAAAGGGACUUUAUCUAUCUUCCUCUCAUUUCCUUCCCAACGUCUAAUGAAUUACAACCCUGGAUAAGUUUACACCAUAUUGCUGUUUUCUAAUCAAGCGCAGUCAGGUCAGAGAUAUUCAAGACAGUUGGCAUGCAUACAGCCAGUGAUCCUGAGAAGCUUUCUUCCUCCUUGCAGACCAUGGCUCUGCUUCACGUCUUUGUUAACAAUCCAACGACUGUUGUCUGGAAUAAGAACAGAAGAAUGUGGUCUCUAUAGCUUGAAAAGUGGAGAGAUAAAACGAAAUCCCCCCACAUAAAGAUAAGUUGAAAAAUACCCAUUCAUUAGUACUUAUAGGCAUCUGGCAUGUGACGGUACAGAGCUUAUAAAGAUUGUUGGUUAUAAUGUUAUUAACGUUGUAUUCUUGACAUCUCAGUAACCCUCUGUCUGUACAGUAUGACACUUUGCUGCAGAGAUCAAAAGGCUUUAAAGAACCACUUUGGCUUUGCAUAAUGGGUCCAGAACCUGCCAUUCAGGCAAUACUGUGCCUUAUUGUUCCAUUGUCAACCUCUCAAUAGGAUGAAUGAAUGUUUUGUACUGAGUGUGUGAAAUGCAGCUCAAUAAUGUGACAUUUAUUGAAAACAUAAGAAUAGUUAAAUUGGCAAAAUAACUCUCUGAAGUGGGCACGUGUUUGCAGUGGAGCCAUAUUAUGUUGUAAUCUAUUUUCAGUAUCUGCUCUAUGCAUCAAUAGUACUGUAGCUCUGAAACAUACCUGCUGUGUACAUGCCUCAGGUUUUUGGCAGUUCCAUAUACUCCCAUAUGGCUCCUCAACAAGGAGCUGACAUGAGCUGUGUUUAUCAGGUGUAAGGAGGAAAAGUGACGAUGGCUUAUAAAACGCAGGGCCCGGCCCAAAUGGAACAGAAAACGCAGCCGUAUGGAAUUUGGAGGACAUUGGACAGAUUUCACGUGUUUUACUCUUUUUCUAGUCUCCAGGUGUAUCAGAAGUGGAGAGGUGGAAUUUUUCAUGGUAUUCUGGAAUGUGGGAUAAGACAUGGUCCCAUGACAUGGAGGAGAACAGCAAGGAGAUUUCCUGGACCCCUCUUUGAAUGGGUUGAUGCUGGUCCUGCUGGAGCUGAUGAUCUGAACCAGUCUGUCUGCCACCUAGCUCCCCCUCCUCCAAACACAACCACUGCCCAUGUCCUGAUCCCAGUGGUCCAGCUUGUCUG